UGAAGCAUGAUUUUGCUGAACUUGGUUUAUAACUCUAACAAGGCAUACGUCAACAGUUUAGGUGCAGAACAGUUUUACGAGGGGUGUGCAGAGAAAUCUUCAAUAUAGUGAGGAGUAACUAA